AGGUUUGUGUUUGAACUGAGAUUUGGAUGGGGUUGAAGUCGGUCCUUAAGAACUGAUGGCACAACCGGAUCUGGGCUCCUGACAGGUGGACUUGUGUCGUGUUCCCUCUGAUGUCAGAUACCAUAAAGUCCAGGCAGUGGGGCUUUUGGUGAAUUUGGUGUCUGUUGGGGGAGCAGGAGCAGCUCAGGAUAAGUGUGUGCUGUCCUGGCGUGUGGCUCAUGAGGGGUGGGAGUCUGAGGCUGGCUUUUACUCUAGGCGAUUAUUCUGACAGGGAUGAGCCAGUCAGCUGGGUGGCCCAGUCAGACACGUUGGGUCCCAGCUUCCAAACCCUGGAGGACCUGGGCUUUGCCUUUGUUUCCAUGCUCUGUGUGCACCUUCAUGCCGGUGAGAAUGAGCCCCCUUCCACCUCUGUCAGACCGUCCCUGCUAGGAGCUGUGGGCAUCCUCUGGUGGUGUGGAGUGCCUUGGUGGCUUGGCCCUCUGCCCAUGCCUGCAGCACUGUGCUUGCCAGCACCCUGCCUGCUGUUGGGGAAUGGAGGGACAGCCAGGUGGAGCCUCGGCCAGACAGAACAGUUGGGCAAGAGUAAUGGCUGGGUUGGCCUUCAGGAGUGAAGGAAAGGAAGAAUUCUGCUUCGUGGGGACCAGAGAGAGCAUGCAGUCUUUAAGUCUGACAAGUUAGGUGGUGCCUGCUUCUUGGUUUCUACCCUGGUGCAUAAGUAAUACCAAAUGCAUAGCCAGCCUUUUUUUUUUUUUUUUAAGGCCUUCAGAUCCCUGCUCAGUAGAUUUUUAGUUGCAAUGGCAGUUCAAGAGAAUGGAGGGGAAGAGUGGCCCCUGAGCAUCAAUUCAGGGGCCCCUCAAGAUCUGGUUGAGAAUAGCCUCUGCCUGGACCCAGCCACAAGAAGGGCAGAAGUCCAAAGGAACUGGUGAUAGAGUACGAGUGUGUGUUCCUGCCCUUUAUGCUUUGCAAGGGCGGCUUCCUGCAGUAGGAGGGCAGGAAGAGCUCUUCCCUGUGAACGGGCCUCUCGGCUGCACUCUGGGGUGUGGGAAUUUGCCUGAGUUCCCAGCCCUGCUGUUCCUGGGCCAGUGCUGCCCUCUCCUGGGCUCUUUUAGGAACUUCUGAUACUGAGGAUAUCAGUGCAGUCAUUCUACCAGCAGGGGGAGCCUGCCGACCGAGACUGAUUUCCCAGCUCAUUUAGCACAGAGCUGUUCAAGCAAGCCCAGGAAUUCUGAAACUUAGGAGGCUUCUCUACCUUCUAGUUCCUCCUCAAGUCAGGACCCUGGGGGCAGGCAGCCCAGAAGAGCACUUUCUCCAAUUUAAAAAUUCCUCUUACUACCCCCCAGUCCAGUAUUGGCUGGAAGUAAGCUGGAGUUCCACAGAUGGGCUGCUGCUUUGGGGGCAAACAAAUCCACACUCCAGCUGUUAAAGGCAUUGUCAACUGUCAGUGGCCCCAAAUACAUACCGGCUCCCAGGCUUCCUCAGACUGGCCCAGGUCUGGUCAGUGACUCUCAAGAGGAAAUCGGGGAAGGGGCUUCCAUCUGCCGUGUGUGGAUAAGGAGAGGAAGACGUCUCUGCCAGCAUGGGCUGGGAGCCUGCAGCAGUUCUUCCACCGCUGAUCUUAAUAGAAUCCUAAUCUGAGUAGUAAUUGGUGACACUUCCAGGGGGAGAGAAAUCCUAGGAUUAAUGCUUUCCUGUACUAUAAUCAUCUUGCCUGGUCUUUUAGGUUGUUUUCCCCAUUGUGAUCCUAAGCUCUUAAACUUGAGGGAAAAUAUUUAUCUAAUUGAUUGAUAGGAAGCUUCCCCUUGAAAGCUUGGAAUAAAAACUCCUGAAAGGGGAAACACACUUGUCUGGAUGCAGUAGACACCUCAUUUAUUUUGUGUAUGCAGUUUGAUUUGCACGUGUGCAAAUGGAGACACUUUAUGCAUUUUUGCUCUGAUUGGGUUUUGGUCACUGCUUAUUAUAGUUUGCUUUUUUGUGUGUGUGGAGAUGUUAGAGUCUGUUUGUUUGGCAAUGUUUGUUUCCCUGAUGUGCCUUUUCACUUUUCUUUGGGGUUAGUUUAUCGAAUCGGGUGCUGUUGAAGGAUGACAGCAGACUCGUCCAGCUUGUAGACAGGUCAUGUCCUUAGGUCACUGCAGAUGUUCAGGCUGAACACCAGGCAUGCCCCCAGUGCCUCAGGCCAAAGUGUGUGCACAGCCGCGCCCUCCUGGAAUGCUCGGCCCUAUCUUCAGGUCUCUCUUGCCAAUGUGCUGACAGGCCUGUGCUCCCUGCCACCCAGGCUGUUGCUGUGGUGUGGCCAAGGCAGAAGUCCAGCCCUAUGUGAGGGGUGGCACCGAAGGGGUAUGAGGCACCACUGAGCUCCUUAGAAGCACUGGCCCAGAAAUACAUCAGCUGUUAGUAUCAUGGAAAGGAAAGUAUAUGCACCCUUUUUAUUUCCUUAAUGAAUGCAGGAUUUAAUGAAGGUGAAUAAUUAGCUUCCCCCACCGGAGUAAAGCCCUAGUACCACUCACUGGUAGUGAAGACACCAAUAUAAGAGGUUAGACUGAAACUGUGUUGUUUAUAGGUGGAUGUAUGCUUUUCAGACCAGACCAUGGUGGGCCACUCCAUUUCUCCAAGGUGGUUCACCUAGAUGGUGUAUAUAAUUUGACACUGCUACCCUCCCCCAUGCCCCCAAAUUUUUGAUUUAAAAAAAAAGAAAAAGUUUAUUUUGUUAACGACAGGCUCUGUUGUAUGUGUUACUAUCCCAAGCCUGGAUUGUUUUAUUUAUUUUAAAGUAUUUUAAUUUCCAUAUUGGCUUUAUUCUAAUCCCAUCCAUCCCUUUGGGGCUGCAGAGCAUCUUCAUAUGAAUGGAUGGACACAAAUAGAUUCAUACUCAUUUAGGAAGCUGGGAAUUUCAUAAAGCUGAGGGUGAGUUCCUUUCAUUCUUGUUGGCUUCAACAAAAAGUACAAAACCAAUCUUUUAUAGCAAAAGACCAAAUUAGCUGUAUAGUCUCAGAUGCAGAAAAGCUGUCUUAGCACUUAGGGUUUUGUGAGGAUUCAAUGUUUAGCACAGUGCCUGGCACAUAGUAAGCCCUAGUAAAUGUUAAAUAUUGUUGUUAUUAGUGUUUCAUAAAACUUGAGAAAUAAAGAGCUGAGCUCACUCCCUAUCUCUUGAUUCAAAAGUAAUGCCUACAUGACGAUAUUAUUCCAAGUGGAUUGAAUGUUGUAGGAAUUACUGGUUUAGUGUGUCAAGUUCUGUGCCUACCCUGCUGGUUGAAAUUUUACUGUAUUCCUGAAUGCACUGAGUGAUUUGAAAAUAUGCUAGACUUCAGCACCCAGUGAAACAAGGCUGCAAAAGUUUAUAAACUGGAACUGAAAAGGAUAAAGGUGACCUUUGGUCACAUACUGAACCUUACCCCACUGAUGUCUUCCAAAACAUUCCAAGGGUUUUCUUUGAAGAACUUUUUUGAGCUAGAAAUCAAAAUGAGUUCUCUGACAGACUGCACCCCUUGAAUCAAAAUUAACACAGUGCCUCUGAAAUGCAAUAACGGAGGCCUUUCUGUGUUGAGGAGGAACGAACGACCAAUUAAACUACACAUUCCCCAGGAAGUCUCUUCGCUGCCCCCUGCUGGCCAGGGCGGUCCCUUCUGUCCUCUGGGAUCAGACUCUCAUGUUUCAAUCAAAUUAAAUUCCAUGGACUGGUCCCAGAGAAAACCCACCCCAACCCCACCCCGGGGGUAGCCAGCAGAAGCACCGGGAGGAUUUGGGCCUCAUUUAGCUCCCAGAGGCUCCUUGUGGUUGAUGUUUUCCCAAAUCCCCUAAAUAUCGUUUGCUUUUUGUUUUUACUUCCCUGGUGGACUGUUUUAUCUCAUGCCCGAUCUUGGCAUAACUCUGGAUAGAUUGUAGUUGGGGAAUAUGGGGGAAUUUGCUGGAGUCCAGUGUCUUAAUUUCUUUGUAUUCUCUUCAGCUGAGUCAGCCUUACCAUUCUGUGGAUAUGAUUAGAACUUACCUUUUUCCAAUUGUCACUCUCUCUGUCCCAGAUAUUUUGGGGCCUUAAGACUGUCCCUCAGCCCCACCCAAACCCCCAUAGCAGGGGAGGCAUGGCAAAGGGAUGAAAGGGUCUUAUUUGGUGGGAGAGCCAUUCUCUAUGGGGGAUGGGGGUGGGUAGUGAGCACUCUGAGGUCAUUUGUGGUGCUGCAGACAGGUCGGGAAGCUUAGUGCAGUCCAUCCAUUCCCCAAAGCUGAGAUGGAGCAAACUUGGGGAGCAUUUUGCACACUGUCCUGCCCAAGUAUUUACAAGACAAUAGCAUAACAAUUGAUGCCAAAGGAGAUGGUGACAUCCCUUCUAGUGUAGUUACAACCUUGAUGUCUUUAAGCUAAUGGCCAUUUGCAUCUUUGUCUUUAAACAGAUCCUGGUCCAACCGUUUUCUACUGUUCACUUCUGGGGUUAAGUAGUGCAGGAUUCUGCAAGUAAGGUGUCGCCGUCCAAAUGUACUGUACCGGCAUAGAGAGCACUGCUUUGUUUUCCACUGUUCUAGAGAAACUAGGGAGAACUUUAUUUUUCAAUAAACUUUUCUUGUGUGACA